rnacentral:rRNA from 1 species
AUUGAACGCUGGCGGCAGGCCUAACACAUGCAAGUCGAGCGGAUGAAGGGAGCUUGCUCCUGGAUUCAGCGGCGGACGGGUGAGUAAUGCCUAGGAAUCUGCCUGGUAGUGGGGGAUAACGUCCGGAAACGGGCGCUAAUACCGCAUACGUCCUGAGGGAGAAAGUGGGGGAUCUUCGGACCUCACGCUAUCAGAUGAGCCUAGGUCGGAUUAGCUAGUUGGUGGGGUAAAGGCCUACCAAGGCGACGAUCCGUAACUGGUCUGAGAGGAUGAUCAGUCACACUGGAACUGAGUCACGGUCCAGACUCCUACGGGAGGCAGCAGUGGGGAAUAUUGGACAAUGGGCGAAAGCCUGAUCCAGCCAUGCCGCGUGUGAAGAAGGUCUUCGGAUUGUAAAGCACUUUAAGUUGGGAGGAAGGGCAGUAAGUUAAUACCUUGCUGUUUUGACGUUACCAACAGAAUAAGCACCGGCUAACUUCGUG